rfam:Anolis carolinensis unplaced genomic scaffold chrTn0060, whole genome shotgun sequence.
CAAACGGCUCUUUUAAGAGCCACCCACUAAUGUCAACGAAGGGGCU